AUGAGCGAUUUGUGUGUUGGUGAAGAUGGGGUUAACAUUCACAAAUCAUUUAGUAGGUUAUUCACGAAGAAGGAAAUGAGGAUUUUGAUGGUUGAUUUUUCUAAUAGAAAGCCAAAGAGCUAUUUUCUUAAAGCAAUACCAAAUCCACUGUACCAGGCAAACUACAUACAUGGUUUCAAUGCAACUUUCUGUACUGUCAUCAUAUAG